AUUCAUUUCGAUAUCUUUGACAGUGUAGGUGCAAUGGAGCACGCCCGCAUCAAUGACUCACCCUGUAUUUCUUGGCACUAAAUGUUAUAUUUUUUAUCGGUAACACAUUUUAUCAAAAUAAUAAUAUUAUUAAUUUUAUGAUAUAAAUUAAAGUUGAUUCAAAUCCAAAUAAUUUCCAAUAAAAUUGUCAAUUAUUACGCUUUAAAUCGUCAAUUUACAUUUAUAAGCUUGUAAUUGAGUUCCAAUUUAUCCAAUGUCCAUUUCAAAUUGCAAUUAAUUGUCGUGAAAUUGACUAAAUUGAGCUUCAAAACGUUUCGAAUGUUUUGGAGUUGCCUACCACUGGUGUGUGCACUUUGUUCCCACCAUGGAAGAUUCUAGAAAAUCGAAAUAAGUUGUUUCAAAAAUGGGUCAAAUAUGGGCGAGUAGGACACCACCCCACAUGAUGCUUCUGCGUGCUCCCUUCAUCGACGACUAGAGUAUUGGUUUUUAAAUGGGUCACGACGCAAAAGUUAUUAAAAAAAACAGUUUUGUAAAUUGUAUCUUUCUAUAAUUAAAAAAAAAUAUAAUAAUAAAUAAAAUCGGCGACUCUUAAAAUAAAUUGUUUUAAAUAAAUAAAAAUCUAGCAAGUAA